CGGUAAUUCCAGCUCCAAUAGCGUAUACUAAAGUUGUUGCAGUUAAAAAGCUCGUAGUUGGAUUUCUGCGGGGACGGAGCGGCCGGACGCAACUUGCGUCUCGAGCUAGCGCUUUCCCCGCAUCCUGCCGCGAACCGUGCUACCAUUAGCUUGGUGGCGCUGGGGAUCGGCUCGAUUACUUUGAGAAAAAUAGAGUGUUCAAAGCAGGCCACACGCCUUGAAUAAGUUAGCAUGGAAUAAUGACUAAGGACUUCGGUUCUAUUUUGUUGGUGUUCGGGACUGAAGUAAUGAUUGAUAGGGACAGUUGGGGCGGUCUGUAUUCCAAAGCGAGAGGUGAAAUUCUUAGACCUUCGGAAGACAAACAGCUGCGAAAGCGUUCCGCAAGGAUGUUCCCUUUGAUCAAGAACGAAAGUUGGGGGAUCGAAGACGAUCAGAUACCGUCGUAGUCUCAACUAUAAACUAUACCAGCUAGGGAUCGGUCAACGUUUAAUCAUUCGACUUGAUCGGCACCUUAUGAGAAAUCAAAGCAUCUGGGUUCCGGGGGGAGUAUGGUCGCAAGGCUGAAACUUAAAGGAAUUGACGGAAGGGCACCACCAGCCGUGGAGCCUGUGGCUUAAUUUGACUCAACACGGGAAAACUUACCAGGUCCAGACAUAGUAAGGAUUGACAGAUUGAUAGCUCUUUCUUGAUUCUGUGGGUGGUGGUGCAUGGCCGUUCUUAGUUGGUGGAGUGAUUUGUCUGGUUAAUUCCGUUAACGAACGAGACCCCAGCCUGCUAAAUAGCGCGGCUGAGCUUUGCUCGGUGCGAGCUUCUUAGAGGGACUAUGAUGCGCGAUAGCACAUGGAAGUUUGGGGCAAUAACAGGUCUGUGAUGCCCUUAGAUGUUCUGGGCCGCACACGGGCUACACUGGCGCCUGCAACGAGCAUAUCAGCUGGCCCGAGAGGGUCUUGGCUAAUCUUUUGAACCGGCGCCGUGCUUGGGAUUGACCAUUGCAAUUGUUGGUCAUGCAACGAGGAAUGCCUUGUAAACGCGAGUCAUCAGCUCGCAUUGAAUACGUCCCUGCCCUUUGUACACACCGCCCGUCGCUCCUACCGAUGAAUGUUCCGAUGAAAUUUUCGGAGAGCGCCAGAGAACGGGGCUCCGCCUUGCAGAUCUGGAGGCUCAAAGUCACUUAAAUCUGAACAUUUCGAGGAAGGAGAAGUCGUAACAAGGUAACC
rnacentral:rRNA from 1 species